rnacentral:rRNA from 1 species
UACGAAGGGUGCGAGCGUUAUUCGGAAUGAUUGGGCGUAAAGGGUGCGUAGGCGGUAUGUUAAGUCUGUCGUUAAAUUCUUCAGCCUAACUGGAGACCUGCGGCGGAAACUGAUGUGCUAGAGGGUGGAAGAGAGAAGUGGAAUUCUCGGAGUAGCGGUAAAAUGCUUAGAUCUCGAGAGGAACACCGAUGGCGAAGGCAGCUUCUUGGUCCAUUUCUGACGCUGAGGCACGAAAGCGUGGGGAGCAAACAGG